CAUGUUACUCUUAUUACCUGCAGCUGUGGUUCUUAUUAUUUGCCAGUAAAUCCGACAGUCUGCGGACCCGAUGUUCUGGCCUGACUCAAACUCGACAAGCUAACUUGUGCCACCAUUAUGCAAGACAGUGCCCACAGUAAAACAAACCAUGGAGAUGCAAAGAAGGGCCUCAGCUGUCAUCAUUCCCUGUCCAUCCACAGAGAAGUUAUAGUUGGCAAAAAACCCAUCAGGUGGGCAGGACAACGGAUAAUUGAGGUGAUGAUCGGAGCUGUUCAAAGACAAUUGAUAGUGAUGGAG